rnacentral:rRNA from 1 species
UGCUUGCACCUUUUGGUUAGCGGCGGACGGGUGAGUAACACGUGGGCAACCUGCCUGUAAGACUGGGAUAACUUCGGGAAACCGGAGCUAAUACCGGAUAAUCCUUUUCCUCUCAUGAGGAAAAGCUGAAAGUCGGUUUCGGCUGACACUUACAGAUGGGCCCGCGGCGCAUUAGCUAGUUGGUGAGGUAACGGCUCACCAAGGCGACGAUGCGUAGCCGACCUGAGAGGGUGAUCGGCCACACUGGGACUGAGACACGGCCCAGACUCCUACGGGAGGCAGCAGUAGGGAAUCUUCCGCAAUGGACGAAAGUCUGACGGAGCAACGCCGCGUGAGCGAUGAAGGCCUUCGGGUCGUAAAGCUCUGUUGUUAGGGAAGAACAAGUAUCGGAGUAACUGCCGGUACCUUGACGGUACCUAACCAGAAAGCCACGGCUAACUACGUGCCAGCAGCCGCGGUAAUACGUAGGUGGCAAGCGUUGUCCGGAAUUAUUGGGCGUAAAGCGCGCGCAGGCGGUCCUUUAAGUCUGAUGUGAAAGCCCACGGCUCAACCGUGGAGGGUCAUUGGAAACUGGGGGGACUUGAGUACAGAAAGGAAAGCGGAAUUCCACGUGUAGCGGUGAAAUGCGUAAAGAUGUGGAGGAACACCA